rnacentral:misc_RNA from 1 species
GUGACCUGCGGAGGAUCAUUGUCGAAACUCGUAGAGCAGAAUGACCCGUGAACUCGUAGAAAAACAACAUUGGCUGGAGGCACGCACUCUUUGUGGUGCUCCUCCCUCUUUCACCGUCGGUGUGGGAUUCUUCCUUCUCCCUGCGGUGAACAACGAACCCCCGGCACGGACUGUGCCAAGGAAAUAUAACGAGAGAGAAGUAUCUUGGGGCCCCGAAAACGGUGUGCCUUGGGAUGUUGUGCCCCUCUUUCAAUUUAUCUUUAACGACUCUCGGCAACGGAUAUCUCGGCUCUCGCAUCGAUGAAGAACGUAGCGAAAUGCGAUACUUGGUGUGAAUUGCAGAAUCCCGUGAACCAUCGAGUCUUUGAACGCAAGUUGCGCCCAAAGCUGUUAGGCCGAGGGCACGUCUGCCUGGGUGUCACGCAUCGUUGCCCAGCCACCUCGACCCCUUGGGGGACCGGUGGUGUGGGCGGAGAGUGGCCUCCCGUGUGCUCCUUGCUUGCGGUUGGCCCAAAUUUGAGUCCUCGGCGAUUGAGGCCGCGACAAUCGGUGGUGAAAACAAACCUCUCGAACUCUUGUUGCGUGCCUUGGUCCUCUGGUUUGGGACUCAAGGACCCUGUUGCCCCGCGCAAGCGGUGCUCGCUUGCGACCCCAG